ACCCCACCACUUAAAGGAAAUCUCUCUCUCUCAAAUCCCUAAAAUCGCCGCCGCCAUGGCCAAAAAAUUCCGUCGCUGAAUUCGUCUCUCUCUCUCUCAAAAAUUCCGCCAUGGCCUAAAAUCGGCGAUCUCAUCGAUCACUGAAUUCGCCGCUGUGUUCAUCGUGAAUCUCAUCUCCUAUCUCCUCUCUGAUAUCAUCUUCGAGCCCAGUCCUCGCCGGAGAUUUCUAGGGUUUCAGCUGGUACUCGGUGUUCUCAUUGUGCUUGGGUUGGGAACUGCGUUUCGGCUUGCAUUGGAGUGCUGCCAAGACUGGGGAUCUCGAAGACACGUGCACGGCAUAAAUAUACUUUUAAUCACUUCUCUUUGAGUGAUGGAAACAGUUGGUGAUUCUAGAUCAAGUUCAAAAGAGAAGAGAUCAUUUGAGGAAUUGUCAUUUGAAUGAAAAGCAAAAGGGCUUGUUUGAUGGAGACCCUUAGCAAUCUGUAGCCACCUAUUUUACUCAAAUGGAAGGUUUUGAUGCAGGUACAGAAAUGAUGAAAGCCAAGAUUGAGAUUGAUACUGACAGGUUCCUAGUGAGUAUUUGACAUUGAGGAACAAGUUUUUAGAAACAAAUAGAGAAUAUAGUCUUUGACCGAGAAGUUUCAUGUUUUGUAAUCAAAUGUUGAUGUACAUUGUUUGAAAGUUAGUUCGGUACGAUAUUUUCUGAGUUGAAAUGUUGGUAGUGUGGAUUUAAUACUUUGUAGUUUUUAUACUAUACUGAUGUAUGUUGGCACUUAUCAUUAUGGUUGAUUAUGCUCAACAUAAUCACUUUUAUAUUGUGUAUUAAAAUU